rnacentral:rRNA from 1 species
CCUAGGGGAGGCAGCAGUGGGGAAUAUUGGGCAAUGGGCGAAAGCCUGACCCAGCAACGCCGCGUGAGGGAAGAAGGUCUUCGGAUUGUAAACCUCUGUCCUAUGGGACGAAACAAAUGACGGUACCAUAGGAGGAAGCCCCGGCUAACUACGUGCCAGCAGCCGCGGUAAUACGUAGGGGGCAAGCGUUGUCCGGAAUUACUGGGCGUAAAGGGUGCGUAGGCGGUUGCCUAAGUCAGAUGUGAAAUCCCCGGGCUUAACUCGGGUGGUGCAUUUGAAACUGGGUGGCUAGAGUGCAGGAGAGGGAAGCGGAAUUCCUAGUGUAGCGGUGAAAUGCGUAGAUAUUAGGAGGAACACCAGUGGCGAAGGCGGCUUUCUGGACUGUAACUGACGCUGAGGCACGAAAGCGUGGGGAGCAAACA